UUUGCCGGAAAGCUGCUGCAUAACGCCGAAGGGGCAGUCGCAACAAACUCUCAGGCAGAAGGACCGGAUUGG
rnacentral:ncRNA from 1 species